rnacentral:rRNA from 1 species
AGCAGCCGCGGUAAUUCCAGCUCCAAUAGCGUAUAUUAAAGUUGUUGCAGUUAAAAAGCUCGUAGUUGAAUUUCGGGAUCAAGUCGUCGGUCGUGCCUCGGUACGCACUGGUGACAUUGGUUUCUCCCUUCUGAAGAACCUUGAUGUCAUUAAUUUGGUGUCUUGGGGAAUCAGGACUGUUACUUUGAAAAAAUUAGAGUGUUUAAAGCAGGCUCACGCUUGAAUACAUUAGCAUGGAAUAAUGAAAUAGGACGUUUGAUUCUAUUUUGUUGGUUUCUAGGAUCGACGUAAUGAUUAAUAGGGAUAGUUGGGGGCAUUAGUAUUCAAUUGUCAGAGGUGAAAUUCUUGGAUUUAUUGAAGACUAACUACUGCGAAAGCAUUUGCCAAGGAUGUUUUCAUUAAUCAAGAACGAAAGUUAGGGGAUCGAAGACGAUCAGAUACCGUCGUAGUCUUAACCAUAAACUAUACCGACUAGGGAUCGGAUGAUGUUAAUUUUUAAUGACUCAUUCGGCGCCUUACG